AUUGAACGCUGGCGGCAGGCCUAACACAUGCAAGUCGAACGAACUCUUCGGAGUUAGUGGCGGACGGGUGAGUAACACGUGGGAACGUGCCCUUUGGUACGGAAUAACUCAGGGAAACUUGAGCUAAUACCGUAUGUGCCCUUCGGGGGAAAGAUUUAUCGCCAUUGGAGCGGCCCGCGUCUGAUUAGCUAGUUGGUGAGGUAAAGGCUCACCAAGGCGACGAUCAGUAGCUGGUCUGAGAGGAUGACAAGCCACAUUGGGACUGAGACACGGCCCAAACUCCGACUGGAGGCAGCAGUGGGGAAUCUUGCGCAAUGGGCGAAAGCCUGACGCAGCCAUGCCGCGUGGAUGAUGAAGGUCUUAGGAUUGUAAAAUCCUUUCACCGGUGAAGAUAAUGACUGUAGCCGGAGAAGAAGCCCCGGCUAACUUCGUGCCAGCCGCCGCCGUAAUAC
rnacentral:rRNA from 1 species